rnacentral:lncRNA from 1 species
AUGGGCAAAGGAGAUCCUAAGAAGCCAAGAGGCAAAAUGUUAUCAUAUGCAUUUCUUGUGAAAACUUGUCAGAAGGAGCAUAAGAAGCUUCAGUCAACUUCUCAGAGUUUUCUAAGAAGUGCUCAGAAAAAAAGUGCUCAGUGAGGUGGAAGACCAUAUCUGCUAAACAGAAAGGAAAAUCUGAAGAUAUGGCAAAGGCAAACAAGGCCCGUUAUGAAAGAGAAAUGAAAAUCUAUAUCCCCCCUAAAGGGGAGACAAAAAAGAAGUUCAAGUCCAAUGCACCCAAGUGGCCUCCUGCAGCCUGUUUCGUGUUCUGUUCUGAGUGUUGCCCCAAAUCAAAGAACAUCUUGGCCUGUCCAUUGGUGAUGUUGCAAAGAAACUGGGAGACAUGUGGAAUAGCACUGCUGCAGAUGACAAGCAGCCUUAUGAAAAGACAGCUGUGAAGCUGAAGGAAAAAUACAAAAAGGAUCUUGCUGCAUAUUGAACUAAAGGAAAGCCUGAUGCAGCAAAAAAGGGAGUCAUCAAGGCUGAAAAAAGCAAGAAGAAGAAGGAAGGGGAGGAAGAUGAAGAGGAUCAGGAGGAGGAGGAAGAUGAAGGUGAAGAAAAUGAUGAUGAAUAAGUUGAUUCUAGUGCAGUUUUUUUUUCUUGUCUAA